CCCGUCUCCUCCAAAGAAGAUGGAUGGGCGCAGAAGAACCUCCACCUGGAGCUUGCUUCAAAUGCAGCAAAUCCAGCCACAGCAGAAAAAACCUGCCUUUUACCUGACUACCGCCAAGAUCCUGUCCAGACUGUGGAUAAGCAGGACACUGGGAGCUGAUGGCCCCACUUUGCCAAGACAAGACACCUGAAUGUUCCCGGGAAAAGAGCGCUGCUUCUGCAUCAAGGAAUCUGGCCUGGUGGAAACUAAUAUUGAGUCUCUCCACAAACUGUCUGAAGGUCUCCACCAAUACAACCAGGGCACAUCUCCAUUCCAUUCUUUCUGGCAGUCUUCACUCUUCCCGUGGCUAGCCCCAUUCAUAGGGCUGGUGUUAAUAAUCUCUUUUUCUCCUAGCAACUUGCCUUCUCCACUCCCUCCCAGAACAGAUUCCUGAGGUCUCCAGGAUGGCAGUUAACUGAACGCCUCUUCACCCAUACCUCCAGCUGAAUGUGAGCCCAGUGACCCCUGACUCCCCCUCCCCAUGUUGUCCCAUGCCAACAGGAAAUAACCAUAUUUGAGCUAGUGCCCAUAUACCCAAGAAGGUCGGGAUGUUCAUCUGGAAUCUCCAGGUCAGCCCCAUUUCUCUCUCUCCAAACCCUGCUCUCUCAGAAAAACCACCCAAAACUCCAGUUCUACAUCCCUGGCGGCUGUGGCAGCUCCUCCCCUGAAGCUUAAGCAUUGUAAGUGGUUACAAACCCAGCUUGUGGUGGACACGUCAUCACCCAGCACCUACAGGGUGUUUAAGCUCCCUCCUUUAGACUGGCCAUGUGAUUUUUUCCCUGCCCCUUCCCCUGCCUCGAUCUCUGGGGCCUGGAGGAGUCACCCGGGAGUUGCUUUGUUCAGAAUAAACCUGGCCUUUUACCUUUUAAA